GACGAACCGUGCAAACGUUGUUCGGAUUCACUGGGCUUAAAGGGCGCGUAGGCGGUCGAUCACGUCCGGGGUGAAAUCUUUCGGCUCAACCGGAAAAUAGCCUGGGAUACGGAUCGGCUGGAGGGAGGUAGGGGCAGGUGGAACUUCCGGUGGAGCGGUGAAAUGCGUAGAUAUCGGAAGGAACGCCGGUGGCGAAAGCGACCUGCUGGACCUCUUCUGACGCUGAGGCGCGAAAGCUAGGGGAGCGAACGGG
rnacentral:rRNA from 1 species